GGCUGGAUAGCUUGGUUGGUUAGCGCAUGGUGCUGAUGAUGCCAAGGUUGCAGGUUCAAUCCCUGCAUCGGACA